AUCUCUACUCCCAGUGCGGUGAUUGGAAGAGCUGUGAUCUGGCUGAAGGAUUCUUCUGUCAGAGCCAAGCUCAGGAUCCCCGGCCACAGAGCCUGUGUGUCUUAGCCAGAAGCCAACCACUGGGGCCCAGUCCUAGAGCACCUUCACCUGCCUCCUCUGUUCUAGUGGUUAUCGAGAGUGGCAAGGAGGAGAUCCAUUAGCUGACCACCCACUUGCACCCAGCACAGCAGGAGAAAGCAACUCUUCAGACAGUGGCAGCUGGCCUUAUCCAUCACACUAGGCCUCUGAUGGGGCUAUUAGAAUGUCAAGGGAACUUGUUUCUUCCUUUAUCAAUGUCUGUGAAAUACAAAGCAAUGAAGUCUAAAGAGUCUUUGCCAUGGAGAGAGGAUCAUGUCAAUCAGAG
rnacentral:lncRNA from 1 species